rnacentral:rRNA from 1 species
GACUCUUGACAAAGGAUUUCUCAGCUCCUGUAUCAAUAAAGAAUGCAGAAAAAUGAAAUAUUUUGUGUGAAUUGCAGAAUCCCAUUUACCAUAAAGUCUUUGAAUGUAAUUUGCACUUGAAGCCAUUAUGUUGAGGUCACAUCUGCUUGGGUGUCA